rnacentral:rRNA from 1 species
GAUGAACGCUGGCGGCGUGCCUAAUACAUGCAAGUCGAGCGAACGGACGAGAAGCUUGCUUCUCUGUAGUUAGCGGCGGAAGGGUGAGUAACACGUGGCAAACCCACCUAUAAGACUGGGACAACUUCGGGAAACCGUAGCUAAUACCGGAUAAUAUUUUGAACCGCAUGGUUAAAAAGUGAAAGACGGUCUUGCUGUCACAUACAGACGGAUCCGCGCUGCAUUAGCUAGUUGGUAAGGUAACGGCUUACCAAGGCAACGAUGCAUAGCCGACCUGAGAUGGUGAUCGGCCACACUGGAACUGAGACACGGUCCAGACUCCUACGGGAGGCAGCAGUAGGGAAUCUUCCGCAAUGGGCGAAAGCCUGACGGUGCACCGCCGCGUGAGUGAUGAAGGUCUUCGGAUCGUAAAACUCUGUUAUUCGGGCAGAACAUAUGUGUAAGUAACUGUGCACAUCUUGACGGUACCUAAUCAGAAAGCCACGGCUAACUACUUG